rnacentral:lncRNA from 1 species
UUUUGCUAGCUUUGAAAGAUGGGCCGAAGGAAAGAGGAAGACCAAACAAAGUCGCGGUCAAAGCAAAGAAAAAGAUGCCAAAAAAGAUUCACUUUAGCUUCUAGCUCGCUUAGCUUAGUGUAGGUUGCUUGCAAGACUUUCGAUAGCUGGCUCGGCCGAACGGAAUCACCGAUCUAGAUAGAAGGGUCGUUCACUCCCUAUUCUUUGAGAGGUUGCUUGCGACGGUAGCAUUAGCUAGGCAAUCAAGGCAGGUCGAACAGAGUCAGUCCUAGGGUGAAGAUCAUCGGAUGGAAAAAUGGAUUGAGCUGGCUAAUUACUUGAUGACCCGGUGGAGAAUGGGAACAGAGAGUCGCUCCC